rnacentral:rRNA from 1 species
GAUGAACGCUGGCGGCGUGCCUAAUACAUGCAAGUCGAGCGAAUGGAUUAAGAGCUUGCUCUUAUGAAGUUAGCGGCGGACGGGUGAGUAACACGUGGGUAACCUGCCCAUAAGACUGGGAUAACUCCGGGAAACCGGGGCUAGUACCGGAUAACAUUUUGAACCGCAUGGUUCGAAAUUGAAAGGCGGCUUCGGCUGUCACUUAUGGAUGGACCCGCGUCGCAUUAGCUAGUUGGUGAGGUAACGGCUCACCAAGGCAACGAUGCGUAGCCGAGCUGAGAGGGUGCUCGGCCACACUGGGACGGGAACACGGCCAAGACUCCUACGGGAGGCAGCAGUAGGGAAUCUUCCGCAAUGGACGAAAGUCUGACGGAGCAACGCCGCGUGAGUGAUGAAGGCUUUCGGGUCGUAAAACUCUGUUGUUAGGGAAGAACAAGUGCUAGUUGAAUAAGCUGACACCUUGACGGUACCUAACCAGAAAGCCACGGCUAACUACGUGCCAGCAGCCGCCGUAA